UAAGACGAACCGAGCGAACGUUGUUCGGAAUCACUGGGCUUAAAGGGCGCGUAGGCGGGCUGUCAAGUUUGGGGUGAAAUCCCGCGGCUCAACCGUGGAACUGCCUCAAAUACUGACGGUCUCGAGGGAGGUAGGGGCGAGCGGAACUGAUGGUGGAGCGGUGAAAUGCGUUGAUAUCAUCAGGAACUCCGGUGGCGAAGGCGGCUCGCUGGACCUCUUCUGACGCUGAGGCGCGAAAGCUAGGGGAGCAAACGGGAUUAGAUACCCCGGUAGUCCUAGCCCUAAACGUUGGGUACUAGGUAGUAGACUAGACAUGGGUUUACUGCCGAAGCAAAAGUGCUAAGUACCCCGCCUGGGGAGUAUGGUCGCAAGGCUG
rnacentral:rRNA from 1 species